CAUGAGCAGCAAGCUAGGGAAAUUAUUGUAUUUUUUAUUGUUCUUCUCAUAAGCUUCUCUAAUUUGCAAAACAAACCUCCUUCAUCCUGUUUCCAGUUUUUCCACCGUAUUUUUCUUCUGCUCUCAUUCAACUUAUACACUGAUUUAAUUUGAAAACUAUCUCAAGCAAAGGAAGAAUUUGUGGCCUUUAAAUCCAAAUUCGAGCUUAUCACCUCUUUGCUACUCGGGUAAAUUUAUCUUACACAAAGGAACGUCGGGCCUAAGUGGGACCCCUCCAUUUCGGUGGCAACCCGGAAGAUCGUUGCGGCAACGAUGGCUGGUAACCAGAACUACCCUGACGGUGGCACUGGCCAUGAAAAUAAUAGAGUAUCUUUAAUUGCGGCUCUGGAUAUUCUUAUGAUCUAUAUUUGUUUAAGAUUUACAUUUCUACAUUUUUAUGUAGCUGCUGCUCGUGUCUAUCUAUCCCCGUUUAGUGCUGGCAUUAUAUUUCGUUGUUAUACCCCCUACUGGACAUUCGCUCACCCGGUUUUGUUUUGUUUUCCCCCCACAGAGUACGGAGAGAAGUCGCAAUAGUAAGCCAGGCGGAGCUUACGGCAGGCUUUAUCCCUUGGAAAGUUAGUAUUUUGUAAGCUUAUAUGAUAUUGUAUAUCACAGGGCUAUACGGGGAAGUUUUCUUGUUUUAUUUCAUGUCAAUUUGAUUACAUUUUGCUGUUUUAAAUACAUGGGAUCUUGUACAGACUCUAUGUGUUUUGUAAAUGAAACUUGGUGGUGAAAUGAAGGGAAGGUCUGACCUUUAGGUGUCUAAAGAACCGGA